rnacentral:rRNA from 1 species
UAUGUGCGGACGGGAUAACCGCUGAAAGCAUCUAAGCGGGAAGCCCCCUUCAAGAUGAGACUUCCCUGGGGCCUUGCGCCCCCUGAAGGACCCUCGAAGACGACGAGGUCGAUAGGCGCGGUGUGGACGCACAGCAAUGUGUUGAGCUAACGCGUACUAAUGGUCCGUGAGGCUUGACCAUA